rnacentral:lncRNA from 1 species
UGGGUCAUUAUUACUGUUCCAUACUGACCUGUAUUGAUCCAUUAACCUGUGUCCGUAUUGUGUCCAUAUGGUACCAUACUGCGUCGUCCAUACUGACCUGUAUUGAUCCAUACUGGUCCGUAUUGGUCCAUACUGGUCCAUACUGGUCUGUACUGACCUGUACUGGUCCAUACUGGUCCAUAUUGGUCCAUAAUGGUCCAUACUGUUCCAUACUGACCUGUACUCAUCCAUAGUGGUCCAUAUGGGUCUGUAGUGGUCCGUGCUGGUCAAUAAUGGCCCAUAUUGACUGGUACCCAACCAUACUGGUCCGUACUGGUCCAUACAGACCAAUACUGACCCAUACUGACCUAUACUUGUCCAUACUGGUCCAUACUGGUCCAUACUGGCCUGUACUGGUCCAUACCGGCCUGUACUGGUCCAUAUUGGCCCAUACUGGUCCAUACUGCUCCAUACUGGUCCAUAUUGGCCCAUACUGGCCCAUACUGGUCCAUACUGGCCUGUACUGGUCCAUAUUGGCCCAUACUGGUCCAUACUGGCCCGUAUUGGUCCAUAUUAGCCCAUUCUGGUCCAUACUACUCCUUACUGGUCCAUACUGUUCCAUACUUUUCCAUACUGACCUGUACUGAUCCAUAGUGGUCCAUUUGGGACUGUAGUGGUCCGUACUGGUCCGUACUGGUCAAUAAUGGCCCAUAUUGACUGGUACUCAACCAUACUGGUCUGUACUGGUCCAUACAGACCCAUACUGACCCAUACUGACCUAUACUGGUC